GAUGAACGCUGGCGGCGUGCCUAAUACAUGCAAGUCGAGCGAACAGACGAGGAGCUUGCUCCUUUGACGUUAGCGGCGGACGGGUGAGUAACACGUGGGUAACCUACCUAUAAGACUGGGAUAACUUCGGGAAACCGGAGCUAAUACCGGAUAAUAUUUCGAACCGCAUGGUUCGAUAGUGAAAGAUGGCUUUGCUAUCACUUAUAGAUGGACCUGCGCCGUAUUAGCUAGUUGGUAAGGUAACGGCUUACCAAGGCAACGAUACGUAGCCGACCUGAGAGGGUGAUCGGCCACACUGGAACUGAGACACGGUCCAGACUCCUACGGGAGGCAGCAGUAGGGAAUCUUCCGCAAUGGGCGAAAGCCUGACGGAGCAACGCCGCGUGAGUGAUGAAGGUCUUCGGAUCGUAAAACUCUGUUAUUAGGGAAGAACAAACGUGUAAGUAACUGUGCACGUCUUGACGGUACCUAAUCAGAAAGCCAUGGCUAACUACGUG
rnacentral:rRNA from 1 species